rnacentral:rRNA from 1 species
UACGAAGGGGGCUAGCGUUGUUCGGAAUCACUGGGCGUAAAGGGCGCGUAGGCGGCCGAUCAAGUCGGGGGGUGAAAGCCUGUGGCUCAACCACAGAAUUGCCUUCGAUACUGGUUGGCUUGAGACCGGAAGAGGUAAGUGGAACUGCGAGUGUAGAGGUGAAAUUCGUAGAUAUUCGCAAGAACACCAGUGGCGAAGGCGGCUUACUGGUCCGGUUCUGACGCUGAGGCGCGAAAGCGUGGGGAGCAAACAGG